rnacentral:tRNA from 2 species
GCGAAGGUGGCGGAAUUGGUAGACGCGCUAGCUUCAGGUGUUAGUGUNNCAAGUCCCCCCCCUCGCACCA